ACACGUAUUUCAUAUUUUAUUUCGACAAACAUUGUCAACGAACGAGUUUCGGUUAUUGUAUCUCUGCGCAUGCGCCUGACGCAUGCGCAGAAUUUACAGUGUGCGCGCAUUUUGGAAUUUUCAAAUUCUAUGUACUUUAGGACAACUCGACUAAUAUUACAUAAUGACAGGCAGAAAAUAUAGCAUAUAUGUGCAUUUCCAUCCGAAUCAUAUAUGGAGGCGCUACCCUAUCGGAUAGCCAUCGGCGCGAGCAAUCUGGCAUGCGCGGCCGUUCUCGUGAAUGGGCACGGCUCGUGGACCAAGCGGCGGCCGUAUGAAUGAAAUAGUAAAUAUAAUUGACAGAAGGGCAGGCGUGGGCAGGCCAGUCAGAACAGGCAAGCAGAAACAGGCGGAACGAGGUGCAAGACGGGAACGGCGUUUUAUACGCGGCAGGCGUAGGAUCGAGAAAAUAUUAGGACAAAUGAAACUUUUACUAGAAAGUAACGAGGGUGAUACCGUGCCAGCUGUUUGCACUGAUCUCUCGUUAACUUUCUCAUGAUCCAUGCAGCUAUCCAAAUGAGCGUUGAUAACGUUUAACGUAGCUGUGAAUUGCUUGUUUACCUACGUCAAGAGGCGAAGGCUUAGGUGAGCCGUAAAAUUUCGGUUCCCCCUUUGGUCAGCUGGUUCCAGGGACUCGUCAUAAAAGUUUGGCCCAUCACCGUUAGGCUGACGGUGUCGCAACUCGACUACGGUAGUCAAAUUAAUCGUCGUUACGGAAACGGAAGAACCCUGAAGAUUUCUAUUUCUAUUAGGGCCUUUGUACGCGAGCGGUAAGUAGGAUUCCCUGUAGGUCCUGCCAGGUUAAAGCGUUACGUGACGAUGAAGACAGAUCCGCCCUCGGUCGCGGGUACUGGCUGUGGAGAACGUUGAAGGAGAGCUGCGCCAGUUCUUGGCCGGUCGGUCUGCCUUUUCUCUCCUCCCUUCUCCCCCGACUCCCUUCCCCGUCGAGUCGUCGAGUGACGACCAAAGACGGUAGGAAGGUACGGUUUCCGGUCGCCCACGCGACAACCUAGCCGGAGCUCUCUCGCGUCAGGCAGCGGCGUUGUGAAAAUCCUCUCGAUUCAGGUGUCCGGAUAGCGCUCACGGAGUGGUAAACCUGGCGCAACACCCUGCCACUAUGGUGGGGAGGGCACCAUGAUCCAAGCAAGAUGGAGAACAAUUUGUAGAUUUCUAUUCCUGCCGAUACAUCGAUCUAUGUUCUCGAGCACCCUACGUCUGAUCAACCUUUUCGACACCAUACCUCUAAUGAAAUAGUUUUCAACUAUAUGGAAACACGAAUUUCUUCAGGAAGUAUCAAUACGAGCAACGACUUUCAUUUGCUAUGAGAAACACGACGGAUAUGCUUCUCGAGACAACUGGAGCGUCGCGUUUUAAUCUUACCAUUUGUCGAGAGACAGUGGAGCGACUGCGUCUCGAGUUUCUCCUUUUUCAAAUUCGUUUCCUCGGACAAUUAGCUUUCCUUUCGCUCGUUCGCUUUCCAGCUUCGAUUGCUCAACGAGCAAUAAUUACAUUCGAACGUUACACGUCGCGAACGUAUCGGGAGAGCAGCUCGCUAGGGGUUGAUUCGAGGCAUUGUCGGUGGAACGUUGUUUGGCCGUUGUCGAGCACGGCGGGACGCACGAUUAAUGAUACGUUUCAUACUCGUUUUCGUUCAUUGUCGAUGCUAAUCGAUUACUGGCCUCGCGA